AAGUCGUAACAAGGUUUCCGUAGGUGAACCUGCGGAAGGAUCAUUAUUGAAUUUUUGAAGGGGUUGUGCUGAUCUUUCAGAUAUGUGCACGCCUCGUUCCAAAUUUUAUCACCUGUGCACCUUUUGUAGACUGAGAAAUUGGUCUAUGUUUUUCAAAUACCCUUAUAAAAUGUUUUGAAUGUUUUCUAAAUGAUAAUAAUUACAACUUUCAACAACGGAUCUCUUGGCUCUCGCAUCGAUGAAGAACGCAGCGAAACGCGAUAAGUAAUGUGAAUUGCAGAAUUCAGUGAAUCAUCGAAUCUUUGAACGCACCUUGCGCUCCUUGGUAUUCCGAGGAGCAUGCCUGUUUGAGCGUCAUUAAAUUAUCAACCCCUUCAAAUUGUUGAAAGGGGCUUGGAUUUGGAGUGUUGCUGUGCUUUCAGCUCCUCUUAAAUGCAUUAGCUUGUACUCUUUGCAGAUAGGCUUUGGUUUGAUAAUUAUCUAUGCCAUCGCCGUGAAGCAAAUGUUAAGCUUCUAACAGUCUUUUGAAGACAAUUUUAUUUGACAUUUGACCUCAAAUCAGGUAGGACUACCCGCUGAACUUAAGCAUAUCAAUAAGCGGAGGAAAAGAAACUAACAAGGAUUCCCCUAGUAACUGCGAGUGAAGCGGGAAAAGCUCAAAUUUAAAAUCUGGCAGUCUUACCGCUGUCCGAGUUGUAAUCUAGAGAAGUGCUUUCCGCGUUGGACCGUGUACAAGUCUCUUGGAACAGAGCGUCAUAGAGGGUGAGAAUCCCGUCUUUGACACGGACUACCAGUGCUUAUGUGAUGCGCUCUCAAAGAGUCGAGUUGUUUGGGAAUGCAGCUCAAAAUGGGUGGUAAAUUCCAUCUAAAGCUAAAUAUUGGCGAGAGACCGAUAGCGAACAAGUACCGUGAGGGAAAGAUGAAAAGAACUUUGGAAAGAGAGUUAAGCAGUACGUGAAAUUGUUGAAAGGGAAACGCUUGAAGCCAGUCGCGUUGGUCAGAAGUCAACCCUCGCAUUAAUUUGCAGAGUGAAUUUUCUGGUUUUACGGGUCAGCAUCAAUUUUGAUUGUUGGAUAAAAGUCAAUAUUUUUACAUCUCCGGGUGUAUAGCCUUUGGCUGCAUGCAACAGUUGGGAUUGAGGAACUCAGCACGCCGCAAGGCCCGGAUCUGUAAGAUCACGUAUGUGCUUAGGAUGCUGGCAUAAUGGCUUUAAUCGACC
rnacentral:rRNA from 1 species